UACGAAAGGAGCAGGUGUUAUUCAGAUUAACUGGGCGUAAAGGGCACGUAGGUGGUUUGUUAUGUGUACUAUAAAAUUAUAAAGCAUAACUUUAUACUGUAGUAUAGACAACUAAACUAGAGUUAGGUAGAGGGUAGUAGAAUUUCUAAUGUAAAGGUGAAAUUUGAUAAAUUUAGAGAGAAUACCAAUGGCGUAGGCAACUACCUAGGCCUUAACUGACACUGAGGUGCGAAGGUAUGGGUAGCAAAUAGG
rnacentral:rRNA from 1 species